AACGAACGCUGGCGGCAGGCCUAACACAUGCAAGUCGAGCGAAGCCUUCGGGCUUAGCGGCGGACGGGUGAGUAACGCGUGGGAACGUGCCCUUUGGUACGGAAUAGCCCCGGGAAACUGGGAGUAAUACCGUAUGUGGUCGAGAGACGAAAGAUUUAUCGCCAAAGGAUCGGCCCGCGUUGGAUUAGGUAGUUGGUGGGGUAAUGGCCUACCAAGCCGACGAUCCUUAGCUGGUUUGAGAGGAUGAUCAGCCACACUGGGACUGAGACACGGCCCAGACUCCUACGGGAGGCAGCAGUGGGGAAUCUUAGACAAUGGGGGAAACCCUGAUCUAGCCAUGCCGCGUGAUCGAUGAAGGCCUUAGGGUUGUAAAGAUCUUUCAGUGGGGAAGAUAAUGACUGUACCCACGGAAGAAGCCCCGGCUAACUCCGUGCCAGCCGCCGCGGUAAGAC
rnacentral:rRNA from 1 species